rnacentral:rRNA from 1 species
CCUACGGGCGGCAGCAGUGAGGAAUAUUGGUCAAUGGACGAGAGUCUGAACCAGCCAAGUAGCGUGAAGGAUGACUGCCCUAUGGGUUGUAAACUUCUUUUAUCUGGGAAUAAAAUGUUCCACGUGUGGGCUUUUGUAUGUACCAUAUGAAUAAGGAUCGGCUAACUCCGUGCCAGCAGCCGCGGUAAUACGGAGGAUCCGAGCGUUAUCCGGAUUUAUUGGGUUUAAUGGGAGCGUAGGUGGAUUGUUAAGUCAGUUGUGAAAGUUUGCGGCUCAACCGUAAAAUUGCAGUUGAAACUGGCAGUCUUGAGUACAGUAGAGGUGGGCGGAAGUCGUGGUGUAGCGGUGAAAUGCUUAGAUAUCACGAAGAACUCCGAUUGCGAAGGCAGCUCACUGGACUGCAACUGACACUGAGGCUCGAAAGUGUGGGUAUCAAACAGGAUUAGAUACCCGAGUAGUC